UGGGGACGGGGCUUGAGCUGUCUAAUCUGUAUCCUCUUGACUGAACAAUAAAUUUUUUAAAAUAUAUAUAUAUAACUUCCUCUAUUAAACACUUAAACCUGGCCAUCUUAUUAACUCCUCUCCUCUCUUAACAAGGUAAUGUUUUAAAUGUAGAGUUUUAGGAAAUGAUGAAUUCUGGCUGUUCUAAGCCAAAAAAAAAAAUGUAAGCCAUUAAUGCUAUGUUCUUCUUUUAAAUUCUUCUCUGUUGUAAGUACCCAAUCCAUUCUGUCCUUAUUUAAGUUCGGUGUUCAUGUUAAUGUUAACUAAAUGUCCUAAUUUCUGAGCCUUCAUCUAUCUGCAUGUCUGUUUUUUUUUUUUUUUUUUGUCUCUCUCCUUGUCGAAUUUCAAAACCAAAUUCAUGCCUUUAGACGAGAUAACUUUAGGCUUUAAGAAAUGUUUACAGUUUAUGCUAGCUAGCUUUAUUUCCAAUUAAUUUUAAGAUUUUCUUUAAGCAACCCUUCUUUUGAGGGCGACAGCUCUGGUUUCUCCAGUCUUGGGGGGGGGGAGGGAAGAGAGAAGAAAGCCCCACUCUUCUGCAGAGACUGAACUGGUCACAGGAAACUAGACUGAAACCCCUUCAAACAAGCCCUAAGCAAUUGCUUCCAAACGGCUUUAUUAAACUGGGCAGCCUUUUCUCUGGUCGUUGGGGCGAUCGGGGGGUGCGAAGGGGCUAACUCGCCUUUGUCUCCCGUUUUGCCUGAAGCGUCUGUUUUUUACCUUUUGUCUCAGAAAUGACUCUUAAUACCCUUGCCCUAGCCAGCCCCACCGGCGAAGCCAGCCAGCCUUCGGCCGAACCUUGGGAAAAGUUUGCUGAAUUCGAAGGCGAUGAAAUUGACAUGACAUUGUAACUGACAAAAAGGUAGUGACCUUCCCCCCAGCCCCGUGAUAACAAUAAUCAUCCCAACAAACUCCAACAAAAUGGUGGGGUUUUUUCUUACAAUAACAUCACCAAACCAACGCCCAAGUUCACCUUCCAGACUCCAUUGCGCCAAGCUGAGCACCGGUAAGUAAAAACGUGCCUUUUAAAAGCCCUUGGAACCACAGCGGCCGGAGCAGGCCCCGCGCCGCCGACUGCUCAGAGCCGAGGGGCUGAGCCUGCUUGGGUCUCCCAGCCCCUGGUCGGUUGUGGUUGGCGAGGAGGGGCAGGCAGUGUGGACAGGAGACAGGCUAGCUAGAGACACUUUGGGACGGGAGGGGGGCGACGAGGCUCUGGUACCAAAGGACUUGAUGGCGUUUCUCCGUGGGGCUGAGGGGGUGCUUGGGGGGUGACUUCUUUCGGAGGGCAGGAACGCUCCCCACCAAGGCUUUCUGCGAUCCCGCACCCUUGACCACCCCCGCUUCUGGGGCGGGGGGGACGGGACGACGACUUUCGGAGCUUUUCUCUAUCGCCCAUCCAGCUUCUCCCCAGUUUGAGAGAAAAGAGUGGUUUGGGGGGUGGGCUUUGAAUCUGCCUCUCCAGGAGGACCCGGUUUGCUAAAUUCAGGGGCUCUCCCUCCCGCUGGAAGUUCGUGGGGGGAGCUGCUUCGCUCCUCCGGGCCAGCCCAGUGCGGCUCCCCCCGGAUCCCUGGGCGGCUCGGGCAGCGAGAAAAGGACAAGGGAGCGGCGUCCAUUUUGGCGCCAUGACGCAGCAGACCUUCCUUCCCGGGCUGCUGCAGCCCUGCCUGCUGCUUCUCCCCCUCGGCUCGGUUCCUCCUCCCUCUCCCACCCCGCUGCGCUCCAGUUUUAUUUUCGGGUUCCGAGAGCGCGCCCGGGGUGGUUGGGGCGGGCGGGCUGGGGUCGGGGCCGCUGGGCGCCCGGCCGGGCUGCUGGCUAAUGGCCGCUUCGAGCCCUCUGGUGUCCCUCCAUCUCCUGCUGCAGCCGCGAGUCCUGGAGCAGGAGGUGGCUUCGCCGAGCCGCAGGGCCUGCCCACGCCUAGCUCGGCUCUGGUCAGGAUGCCCAGAAACUCGGGGCUCACUUGGAUACCUGGGACACACACGGAAGCAGGCGGAGCCAGCCAGGGGUAAGAGUGAGUGCCCAGGACCGACCCAGCUUUAGCCUUCCCAGCCACAUGUUGUCUUAUGCAAUCUAGUACCUUCAAAGCCCCCCUCUUUAGUCAAGCCUUAUACCCCAAGUUCCGGGUGGGGCCGGGGACUGGCACCGGGGCCAACCAAAAACGGGCAGUUCCCUUGCUGGAGCCGGAUGUCUGCCAGCUGACUUCCAAAGAUGAAAGCCUAGUUUCUCGCUUGUUAUACGGUCUUUGGAGUGAACUCCAGGUUCUGGCUACAUCCCCCUUUCAACGGGGGGGAUGCUUCAAAUAACCUCCCCAGGACUUGGCUAGGGUAGCCCCCACCCCUCCUCACUAAAACCCAGCCCCUGGAGAGAACGGCAAGUGGUUCCUUAUUUAGGGGAGGGGGCCCCGGGAGGUUGGGGAGCCCACUCGUGGGCUCCUUCACGCCGAUUUCUCCACUCGGAAGCCAUUCGGUAAGUCCCUUCUGUUUUGGAGCGUUUUUCUCCCAGUGUGGGUGGGGAGGAGGGCUGAAGCAACCUUGGAAACCAGCUUUAUAAAUGGCAGCGGUUUCCUGCCUCUUCUCUCUCAGUGAAAGGCCUUUCUUUGGCAGCUUUCUUAUUCUGCUCCUCUCUCCCCACCCCCCUCCAGCCCCUCUACUGACCCUGGCAUGCCAGUAUUCCGGCAGAGUUGUUCAGAAAGUUAUAAGCCCCAAGUCAGGGGACUUAAGGAUUCCAACUCCACAAUAAAAACAGGAAAAACACGUUUGGUCUUUGUAUGUUUGCUCAGUUCUGGAUCUGACGGUAAACAACCUCUCCCUCCCCUUGGCUGGAGAAGGCCCCAUCUUUCCCCUGGGCCUCCCAGAGCAGUGACCAAGGUCACCCGACCUUCCGAGCCCUUCAGCUUGCUGGCCUUUGGCCCCGGCUCCCCGCUCCUCCUCCCCCACUGCCGACCUGGCCUGGAAAGCCCUUCCUACCUACCGCACCCCACCCCCCGCCCAAUGCCCCUGAACGUGUUUUCCUGGUGUGAGCUAGAACGCGGAGAAGGGGGUCUUGUGGGCCCCCCACGUCGGCUCCGGAUGCUCCGGGGGCCGGUUUUUUGUUCCCCCUCUUCGUGCGGAGGGAGACAAAGAGUGACUCCUUGUGGGCCGGAGCCGCAGCCCGGAAAGUCUCGGGGAACGAGGCCGACCUUGGCCCCAGAGCCAACUGUGGGGGCCCUAAAGCUGCCCGGAGGUCUCCUAGCCCAGAGGACCGGGCCCCCUCUGACUCGCCUGCCCAGGGACGGAAGAAAAAAAUCGGGACUCCCGGCACUUCUGACGCGAGAACGGGUCGAGCCCCCGGUUUCCCGCCCAGCUUGGCCAGAAGAGCCAUCAGGGUCCAGGAGCCAGAUAUAGAGCAGGAUGCCUGGAGGUGGCUCUGGAUGCAAUGGAAGACUUUAGCCUUAAAGCUAAGGGUUUCGACAGGUCUCAGUCUGAUGGAGGCAACACCCAUUCAGUGAUCGAGACUAGGAGAGUGGGCCACAGUGGAGAGAGCCCUGAUUUUGGCACCGGAGGAGCUUGGGCAUCCUUCCCAGCCCUGCUGCUUGGGAGGCAGUGUAGUUCAGUGGAGAGAAGGAUGAAUGGAGUCAGGAGUGGCUUCAGAUCUCAGCUCUUCGGCUUCCUACCUGUGUGACUGCAGGCAAGUGUUUGGGGCAAGUGCUCUGUGGGCCUCCACUAGAAAAUGGCAGCUGAACCAAAUGACUUGUAAAUUCUCUAAUCCUGGAGGUGCAGGGACAAACCCCGAUAUGCUCCUGCCCCUCCGAGAACCUUCACCCUGCCUUCAUUCAUCACCAUUAACAAGCAUCUAGAAACCACCUACCAUCUGUCAGGCGUCGUACUAAACCCCGGAGAUACAAAGGCAAAUGUUGUUCUUGUCUUCAAAGGAGCUCCCAGUCCAAUGAGAGAUGACAAUCGAACAGGACAGAAAGUGGGUGAGGCAGCCAGGUAGAACAGUGGCCCUGAAGUCGGAGGUUCUGAGUUCAAGUGCAGGCUUUAGACACUUAAUAUUUAUGUUGACCCUAGGCAAGUCUCCUAAUAUUGUGUGUAU